AUUUUAUUUCCCCACGGGGAAAAAUAUGGGAAUCAAUUGUUUCUAGGUGUCGUAUAGACUGAUUCUAUUGUUAGCUCGAAAAUACUUCUUUGCCGAUCU